rnacentral:rRNA from 1 species
GGCUCAGGACGAACGCUGGCGGCGUGCCUAAUACAUGCAAGUCGAGCGGACCGACGGGAGCUUGCUCCCUUAGGUCAGCGGCGGACGGGUGAGUAACACGUGGGUAACCUGCCUGUAAGACUGGGAUAACUCCGGGAAACCGGGGCUAAUACCGGAUGCUUGAUUGAACCGCAUGGUUCAAUCAUAAAAGGUGGCUUUUAGCUACCACUUACAGAUGGACCCGCGGCGCAUUAGCUAGUUGGUGAGGUAACGGCUCACCAAGGCGACGAUGCGUAGCCGACCUGAGAGGGUGAUCGGCCACACUGGGACUGAGACACGGCCCAGACUCCUACGGGAGGCAGCAGUAGGGAAUCUUCCGCAAUGGACGAAAGUCUGACGGAGCAACGCCGCGUGAGUGAUGAAGGUUUUCGGAUCGUAAAACUCUGUUGUUAGGGAAGAACAAGUACCGUUCGAAUAGGGCGGCACCUUGACGGUACCUAACCAGAAAGCCACGGCUAACUACGUGCCAGCAGCCGCGG